rnacentral:rRNA from 1 species
GACGAACGCUGGCGGCGUGCCUAAUACAUGCAAGUUGAGCGAUGAAGAUUGGUGCUUGCACCAAUUUGAAGAGCAGCGAACGGGUGAGUAACGCGUGGGGAAUCUGCCUUUGGGCGGGGGACAACAUUUGGAAACGAAUGCUAAUACCGCAUAACAACUUUAAACAUAAGUUUUAAGUUUGAAAGAUGCAAUUGCAUCACUCAAAGAUGAUCCCGCGUUGUAUUAGCUAGUUGGUGAGGUAAAGGCUCACCAAGGCGAUGAUACAUAGCCGACCUGAGAGGGUGAUCGGCCACAUUGGGACUGAGACACGGCCCAAACUCCUACGGGAGGCAGCAGUAGGGAAUCUUCGGCAAUGGACGAAAGUCUGACCGAGCAACGCCGCGUGAGUGAAGAAGGGUUUCGGAUCGUAAAACUCUGUUGGUAGAGAAGAACGUUGGUGAGAGUGGAAAGCUCAUCAAGUGACGGUAACUACCCAGAAAGGGACGGCUAACUACGUG